GCAUGACUUUUUUUUUUUUAAACAAUAAACAUAGGGGCAAAAGUGGGAAUUAGAUUGGAAUCGGGUCGGAUCAUAUCUCAACCGGAGCGUGGAAUUGAGAAAUAAAUUAGGGAUCAAUUAUGAGAAGGGGGUGUUAGAGGCGCGAUCAAUCAGAGUGAUAGAGAGAGUAAUAGAAGAAAACGGAGCGGUGUAUUGAUCAAAGAGUUUAAUUAAGGAGUAACCAUGUCGUUAAUGAAGGGAGAGCCAUUGGUGAGGAAGGUGGCCCUCAUAGCUAAGUACGUUGUGUUUCCUGGAGCUAUGGCUGCUGCAGUCAUCUACUCUCCUCCCGCUUACGCUUCUUAUUAUAAGCCCCAAUCCUCUUCGUCUAAAUAAAUCAUUUUGGUUACCAUAUGGGGUUCUUUUUGACUAGUCGAAUGCUUCUGGUUGCAGUAGUUUACUGAAAUGCUCUAUUUGCAAUAGACGUGGUAUGUAAUAAAUCAAUGGCAGCUUGUUUCUGUACUCAAACUGUCGACUUUUGAAAAUCGGUAUAGACUUGCUCCUUUCAAUUUAUAUUUUGUUAUCAUGUGAUCCUUUCUUCCAUCACAAAUGUUUCCAAGUUCCUUUCUAAGCAAUGGAGGACAGGAAAAUUUAAAGAGCAAUUAAUUCACAAAUAAAUUUGACUGUUUUGGUGUACUUAUUUAUUGAAUCUUUAUUUGAAACCAA